rnacentral:rRNA from 1 species
UACAGAGGUGGCAAGCGUUGUUCGGAAUUACUGGGCGUAAAGGGCGCGUAGGCGGCCUUCUAAGUCGGACGUGAAAGCCCCAGGCUUAACCUGGGAACUGCGUCCGAUACUGGGAGGCUUGGAUUCGGGAGAGGGAUGUGGAAUUCCAGGUGUAGCGGUGAAAUGCGGUAGAUAUCUGGAGGAACACCGGUGGCGAAGGCGGCAUCCUGGACCGAGAUCGACGCUGAGGCGCGAAAGCUAGGGGAGCAAACGGG